rnacentral:rRNA from 1 species
GAUGAACGCUGGCGGCGUGCUUAACACAUGCAAGUCGAACGAAGCACUUUAUUUGAUUUCCUUCGGGACUGAUUAUUUUGUGACUGAGUGGCGGACGGGUGAGUAACGCGUGGGUAACCUGCCUUUUACAGGGGGAUAACAGUUGGAAACGGCUGCUAAUACCGCAUAAGCGCACGGCAUCGCAUGAUGCAGUGUGAAAAACUCCGGUGGUAUAAGAUGGACCCGCGUUGGAUUAGCUAGUUGGUGAGGUAACGGCCCACCAAGGCGACGAUCCAUAGCCGACCUGAGAGGGUGACCGGCCACAUUGGGACUGAGACACGGCCCAAACUCCUACGGGAGGCAGCAGUGGGGAAUAUUGCACAAUGGGCGAAAGCCUGAUGCAGCGACGCCGCGUGAGCGAAGAAGUAUUUCGGGAUGUAAAGCGCUAGCAGCAGGGAAGAUAAUGACGGUACCUGACUAAGAAGCACCGGCUAAAUACGUG